GGGGGUGACCUGGUUUCGACGUGGGUUACAAAGCCUCUAAGUGCAUGUCGAGGAUGUAGCUAGCCUCGUAAAUAAAGCUGCAAAAUAUAGUCGCAAACGACGAAAAUCUCAUCGCCCAAGCUGCUUAAACACCAGCUUAGCGUCGGUACUCUAGCCUGCUUGUAGGUUGGAUGUUAUCGGUAAGAUUCGACAAGAUCGUGUCUUGUGUGCCCGUCACAUGACAUUAAAUAAAAAGGGAUCGCAUGUUAACUUACCUGUCAGCCGGGGGUUAAUGGGCUAAAUUGAAUAGGCCAGACUAAACAUGUAGUACUUAAGGUAGCGGAUUUGCGGACGCGGGUUCAAUUCCCGCCGCCUCCACCA
rnacentral:tmRNA from 1 species